rnacentral:rRNA from 1 species
UACAGAGGGUGCAAGCGUUAAUCGGAAUGACUGGGCGUAAAGGGUGCGCAGGCGGUUUGUUAAGUCCGUUGUGAAAGCCCCGAGCUCAACUUGGGAAUUGCAGUGGAUACUGGCAGGCUGGAGUACGGUAGAGGAGGGUGGAAUUCCCAGUGUAGCGGUGAAAUGCGUAGAUAUUGGGAGGAACACCGGUGGCGAAGGCGGCCCUCUGGACCGAAACUGACACUGAAGCGCGAAAGCUAGGGGAGCAAACGGG